CUGACGAGCGGCGGACGGGUGAGUAACGCGUGGGAAUGUACCCAGUAGUGGGGGAUAGCCCGGGGAAACCCGGAUUAAUACCGCAUACGCCCUUCGGGGGAAAGCAGGGGAUCUUCGGACCUUGUACUAUUGGAUCAGCCCGCGUCAGAUUAGCUUGUUGGUGGGGUAAAGGCCUACCAAGGCGACGAUCUGUAGCUGGUCUGAGAGGAUGAUCAGCCACACUGGAACUGAGACACGGUCCAG
rnacentral:rRNA from 1 species